rnacentral:snoRNA from 2 species
GUUUACUGAGCAUGAUGAAAUGAUGCUCAAAAUGAUUACUCUGAAG